ACGAAAUUAUUAACAAAGUUUUG
rnacentral:snRNA from 1 species